GCUGCCUCCGGGCUGUCUCUCCCGUGGCCCAGGGCAGUGAUUGAAUACCUCGGAAAUUAGUGUCCUUGCUGUCUCAUUUUAUGAAAGAUAAAUGCUAUGACAUUUAAUGCAGACCUUAAUUUAGAACAGAACGAAGCAGAUCAUUUUGCAAUUUAAUCAUAAACAGGUAAAUAUCAAAACUCGUUUAGCAUUUUACAAGUUAAGUGCACAGAAAACAGAGGCAAAGAGGACCAGGCGGCGAGGGAGCCUCGAAAGGUACAGCAGGAGAACACGGGUUGGAGCCGUGCAGCAUUUUAAUAAUCAUGUCAUUUAUGAGGGCCAGCAUCCAAGCCCAUUUUUCAGCCCAGGAUAUACUGUACUCGCUCACUCAGUGCUGAGUGGGGGCGCCGCCUGGCACCCACUGGAAAGCUAGCAUUUACCUUCUAGCCUGCAAUAUUGCCUGGCAAGAGCUGGGAAAUACACUGACUUGCCUCGAAAGUAAAUAGCGGAGCGAGGGCUGGGCUGUGACUUCCUAUGUGCCCCUGACACGCAAUAAGGGGAAUAUCACAUUCAGCGUGGUUUAUGUGUUACCUAAAACAACCGUAAACAUUAUGAGAAGUCGGCGGAGAAGACGAGAUCUUAUUGUGCUCCGAACAACAGAGAGAAAGAAAGGGAACAAAAUGAGCCGGCUCUGCGCGGCGCUCCUCUCUCUGCUCUCCUGCUCCGGGUUUCAUCUCUCCCGUUGUGCUGAGGGAAGACACUGUUGUUUGACGGGCACUUGUCACUUGCUAAUGUGUCACCUAUCUGCACGCCCUGCACGUAUCUUACGGCCCCACUGUGAGAUAUGCUCAACCCAGAGCGUGUUGAUUUUCGCCAGGCCUCCAACGUGGGAGGAACCGGGGUCACCCCAUCCGGUGUCCCAGGCACGCCGGAAGCCAGCUGACCACGUCCAUGAUUUCUGGCCAGAGAAGGGCCAGGCCAUCACCCUUCCUCAGCUCGUGGGCAAGUGACCUGACAUCAUCUCCUCUUAUGCUGCAAAGGAUGCUUUGUUCCUGUCUGAUGGAAAGCAGGGACACACUGGGCACCUGCGAAGAUGUCCCUGUGCCCCGACACCCAGGAAGCCCAGUCUGAAUGUUCGGACCUCAGGCGCCUGGUCACAGUGCCUGACCUCACUGUCUGCCACUGAUGCAGCGUGCCAGGUCUCGGUAGCCCUGCCGGGCAGCGUGGAGGCCCCCGCUCGAGGUACAGAGUGCAGAGUGCAGAGAUCAGGGAAGCCCCACACCACUGCUUCCCUUCCCUCUCAAUCCAGAGAGCAAAGCGUGUGUCAGAUACCCACACGUCUUCCUUUGAUUGGUUGCUCUUCUCUCGUCUUGGCCCCUUUUCAUGAUUUUGCAUUAUACUCGUUACUGAGACUCUUCUUCAAAUUGGUAGUUCCCUCUGCUAAAAGACGGCUUGAACGUGAGGUGUUCAGCACCAUCUCGCCCACAUAAGCCCCUCAUAGACCCUCACACACUAUGUGUGGGAAAUUCUACAAGGGCUGUGCUCUGUGCUUCAGGGUCUGAUUCUCUUUGUGGUGCCGGAAACACCAUGUCCCCAGGCACUGAGGGGAGAGAUGAGUCCUUUCCAAGUGUCCCCUUCCUGGCGGAAAGGGAAAGGAAAGGGUGGGGGCCUUUCUGUGUCACUGCCAAUCGCUGUGGAGCCCCUGGCUGGUGUUGCUUCUGCUUAUCCUCCUCUCUGAGCAGCUUCUUGAGUGUCCCAUGAGCAUCAGGGGAUUCCUUUGGUCCCUGAAUUCGAACCCAGAUCUCUUCUCAUGGCUGAAAUCCCUGGAUUUCUCUUCAUGGGCAUCGUUUUGCAAGGGGAAUUUUCAGGGUCAUGUACGGUCUCACUUCCUUGGUUCCAAUCACUGACCGGAGGCCCCGAGCUUCCUGGUGUCCGGCUGUGCUGUCAGAUGCCUGUGCAAGGCUCCUCUGCAAGAAAACACUGGCUCUCCUGCGUGAGUCCAUCUCCCUUCACCUGCACGCAUGACCUUCACCCUUUAGGAAGCAUUAAACUCGGCAGGGAAAGAUGCAGAAAAGGUGAGAGGAUCUUAUUCCAAAUCUAUCACCCGAGGAAAGUACUUCAAAGUUCAAACGAACAAAACCCAAAGUUUCUUAUUUUUAAAAAAUACUUUCCCUAUACAUUUAGUUGGUAAGACCCACCAAAGGACCAUUACAGUAGGCUUUACUUCAUAAAUCAUAAAAUACACAAAAGAUUGGUAUUGAACCGUUUUUGUGUACUAGAAAUACUGUUAUAAAAUAUUUUACAUUUUUGAAACUAGAAUGACUAUCAUGUAUUGGAAUUUUGCUUAACAAGUCUGCCUUUUAAAUUGAUGGCAAGAUCUGUCACUGGUUUGAAGAAUUCUUUUAUUCUACAAUCAUAUUUGUAUGUCUCGACAUAAUAAUGUCCCUAGCAAAACAUCUUCCCUUUCUGUCUUGGUCCACCAAAAUACCGUGGACUAGGUGACUUGUACACCAUGGGAAUUUAUUCCUUGUGGGUCUAGGGGUGGGAGGUCUGAGCUCAGGCUGCUGGGGCAGGAGGGGACCUCUCCUAGACUGCAGGCUGCUGAUGCUCCCUGGGGUCCCAUGUGAUGAACCUCUUCUAGCCUAUUCAUAAAAACUCCCCUGACACUAAUCACCUCCCUAUGUCUCCACUCUCCAGACCCCACACAUUGGAGAACCCAUUUCAGCAUUUGAAUCUGGGGCAACCUGAGCAUUCAGUCCACAGGGCUUAGGAAAAUGUGCUUUUCUCUGCUCUUUUCAAGCAGCCACAAGAGCUGUGGUUUAAACUUUGCCAAGUUUAUCUCUUCAUCUGUCUUCGCAAGGCCUCCAAAAGGAAGCCUUUAUUGGCUUCCAUGUUUUGGUCUUUGAAGAGACACUGCAAUGUCAGUACGUAUUUAGUGUUCCCAAAUACCUAACCAUGGUGCAAACAUAGAAAACAUCUGGUUUGAAGUGAUGUCUCACUUUCUAAGUGUUUCAACAGUGCACGGACAAAAAGAUCGAUUGACUCCUGGGUCGACACUGCCUGAUUCUUUAUCCUUUGCCAUUUCUCACUCUCCUUUGCGGAGACCAGGGGCACCUUGGUCCCCUGCAUCACCCGUGGGCAGCGAUGUUCUCGCCCAGCUCUGGGUCUGUGCCUUUGUGGGAGAAAAGGGAGGCUCUUUGUGCCUCUCC
rnacentral:lncRNA from 1 species